rnacentral:ncRNA from 2 species
AGGAACAGAAGAGGAGCGUUAACUAGGUAGUAAGUGAGAGGAUGCCAAUCCGAUGACCACUUAUGAUGGAGAUUAGCGCCGAGGUAUCAGUUUGUUUGGCAAACAUUGAUAUCGGUCGAUUAGGCUGAAUCCUAACGAUUGUCACCUAUUUUUUUGGUGGAGAGCUUCUGGUGAU